UACGAAGGGUGCAAACGUUGCUCGGAAUCAUUGGGCGUAAAGGGCGCGUAGGCGGCGCAACAAGUCACUUGUGAAAUCUCCGGGCUUAACCCGGAGCGGUCAAGUGAUACUGUCGUGCUAGAGUGCGGAAGGGGCUACUGGAAUUCUCGGUGUAGCGGUGAAAUGCGUAGAUAUCGAGAGGAACACCUGCGGCGAAGGCGGGUAGCUGGGCCGACACUGACGCUGAUGCGCGAAAGCCAGGGGAGCGAACGGG
rnacentral:rRNA from 1 species